rnacentral:tRNA from 1 species
GUAAUAGUAGUAUAAAAAGUAUUUCUGUCUUCCAAACAGAGGGUUCAUAUUAGACUAUUACA